rnacentral:rRNA from 1 species
AACGAACGCUGGCGGCGUGCCUAAUACAUGCAAGUCGAGCGAAUGGAUUGAGAGCUUGCUCUUAUGAAGUUAGCGGCGGACGGGUGAGUAACACGUGGGUAACCUGCCCAUAAGACUGGGAUAACUCCGGGAAACCGGGGCUAAUACCGGAUAACAUUUUGAACCGCAUGGUUCGAAAUUGAAAGGCGGCUUCGGCUGUCACUUAUGGAUGAACCCGCGUCGCAUUGGCUAGUUGGUGAGGUAACGGCUCACCAAGGCAACGAUGCGUAGCCGACCUGAGAGGGUGAUCGGCCAAACUGGGACUGGGACCCGGCCCAGACUCCUACGGGAGGCAGCAGUAGGGAAUCUUCCGCAAUGGACGAAAGUCUGACGGAGCAACGCCGCGUGAGUGAUGAAGGCUUUCGGGUCGUAAAACUCUGUUGUUAGGGAAGAACAAGUGCUAGUUGAAUAAGCUGGCACCUUGACGGUACCUAACCAGAAAGCCACGGCUAACUACGUGCCAGCAGCCGCCGUAA